CGAACCAACAACGAGUCGUGUUCGUGUUUGUAGUCUUGAUCACCGUCGCCGUCGUCGUCAUUGGAGAGUGUUUAGUGUGUCUCUAUCUCUAGUAGUACUUGAGCCCUGAAAGUUAUACCCCACGGUGCGAGUUGUAUCCGUAGUGGUCCCGUCUCUCGGUGUCAGAAUCGAAUCAGCCUGGGCCUGCUACUGGUGUACUUUAGACAGUACCUACUUCUGCUGGCGGUGGUGGUAAAAGAACCCAGGGAAGGAAGAAAAAGCCAACGAAAGUGGUUACUAAUCCAGAACCUCGGAAGUGAUCAGUGCAUAUUUCAGCGAGCCAGAGGUUGCCUACAGAGAUUGCACCAUAUCGAAGAUUAAUUUCCCAGGGAUUCAUCGCGAAAAUGUCUGUGCAGUUAGGUGAGGCAAGUUCGGUGGCGUCCAGCUUACUGCCACAGUCGAAGGUUACUGCGUUCGGAAUGUAAAACUGGAAGCAAACUAUCAUAUUCAAGGGUUCCUAAGGUGUUAAAAGUUCUAAAACAAAAACAGCAACUCAACCAGUGAAUAAUAUAGUGGGCCAAGAAAAUUUGCAAGCCUGACAACGGAGCUAAAGGAAAGGUGGUGUAUUUUCCAAAUCGCGAAAAUUUUUUGGGAAGUGUGAGUUUUCCUUCGCCCGUCUGGGAAGAAUCAACAGCAGCAAGAAGAGGCGCUGCUUCAAGUUUGCUUGGAUCUUGCAGUCCUGUGUGUGCCUCCUCUGUUUCUGUGUCUGUGUGAUAUGCCGUUGCUACAAAGUGCGUGCGGGAAAAUCUGAGAAGAAAACUGUGUAAUAGGAAGGAAAACUCCAAGUUAAGAGGCGUUUUUCUGGGUGUUCGUUUUUCCACCGUAUCCGACAGUCGUAGGUACAUGCAGCCUACGUGUGUGUGUAUGUGUAAGUGGAAGUGAAAAUUCAUCGGCCGCAGUCCUCAGCAAGUGAGAGCGAGCAGGAGAGUAAGAAAAGAACUUAAUUGAAAAGUGAUUCAUUAUUGUUAUUAUUGGAGGGUUGGAAUUAAAACACCACCCACCGCCUACUGCUACCGUUGCUACGUCGAGCGGGGGAUUGGAAAAGUUCAUCGUCACUCUGCUUCGAGCAAAACAGGAGGAAAAUAACCCCAAACCAUAUUCAACGGAGGCAGGCAGAAAAUCCAAUUCUCUCCCGCGCGCGCUAUUUAAGCAAUUUCAAGAUCUCACUUUUAGUCGAUAAUCAUCAGCAACCAUGACAAAGCGGUUUGAGUUCAACUGGCAGAUCCCGGUUCCGGAGGCCCUCCAGGCCGGGUGCGUCUUCGACCGGUGGUUUGAGGAAAAGGACAACACAGAGUUCGAACCGGGCUGUACAUUCAAAGUGGACGAGUAUGGAUUCUUCGUCUACUGGAAAAGCGAAGGACGGGAAGGUGAUGUCAUCGAGCUUUGCCAAGUCAGUGACAUCCGAGCUGGUGGAAUGCCAAAGGACCUGAAGUUAUUCAACCAGGUGGUCAACAAACACGGAGAAAACGUCGAGGAGAAAUCUCUGACCAUUUGCUCCGGAACAGACUACAUCAACAUCAACAUGCAACAUGUGAUCUGCCCGGAUGCAGCUACGGCCAAGGUUUGGCUAGAUGGGCUACGGAGAAUCACUCACAACGGCAAAGCAAACAAUGUUUGUCCUAUGACUGCCCUCAAAAAGCAUUGGAUGCGAUUGGGCUUCCUGGUGGAUCCCCGUGGAAAGGUUCCCGUCAAAGUCGUAGCCAGAACAUUCGCUUCCGGUAAAACGGAAAAGUUAGUCUAUCAAAUUCUCUCGGAUCUCGGAUUGCCCAGCGGAAAGAACGAUGCCAUCGAGAGGCCGGACUUUACGUUCGAAAAGUUCUACGAGCUGUACCACAAGAUCUGCCCCAGGAACGACAUUGAAGAGUUAUUCCGGUCGAUCACCCAGGGCAAGAGCGAUACCAUCAACAUGGAACAGUUCAUCAAUUUCCUCAACGAAAAGCAACGUGAUCCUCGGUUGAACGAGAUUCUCUACCCACUGUACGACGAAAAGCGAGCGCUCGAAAUCAUCAACACCUACGAGCAGGACGAGAAGGCCCGGGAUACAAAAACCCUCUCCAAGGACGGGCUGAUUCGAUAUCUGAUGUCGGAUGAAAAUGCACCAGUAUUCCUCGAUCGGUUGGACAUCUACAUGGACAUGGAUCAACCAUUGUCUCACUACUACAUCAACUCAUCCCACAAUACGUACCUGUCGGGUCGCCAGUUCGGUGGCAAGAGUUCCGUCGAGAUGUACCGUCAGACACUGCUGGCAGGGUGCCGCUGCGUCGAGCUGGACUGCUGGGACGGCAAGGGCGAAGAUGAAGAACCAAUCAUCACCCACGGAAUGGCCAUGUGUUCAGAUAUCCUAUUCAAGGACGUAAUCUACGCCCUUCGUGAUACGGCCUUCGUCACCUCGGACUACCCUGUGAUCCUUUCGUUCGAAAAUCACUGCUGUCGAGCGCAGCAAUAUAAGCUAGCAAAAUACUGUGAUGAAAUCCUCGGUGAUCUACUUCUGAAGGAGCCACUGCCCGACUUUCCGCUCGAACCAGGUGCAGUACUUCCGCCUCCAUCUUACCUGAAGCGCAAGAUUCUCAUCAAAAACAAAAGACUAAAAGCGGAAGUGGAGAAACGGGAACUGGAACUCUUCCUGCAGGGUGAAUUCGUGGCGGAGGAUGAUGUGAAGGAGGAUGCCAGUGCAGUUCGGAAACCGGAAGGCGAAGAAGCCGCAGCCGUAGCAACGGUAGUUGUGUCGCCUGAUGGAGGCGAGGAAGUUCCCGUCGUCCAAUAUACCGGUUCGACGACCAACGUACAUCCCUGGCUAUCGUCGAUGGUCAACUACGCCCAGCCAAUCAAGUUCCAAUCGUUCGACUACGCCGACAAAAAGAAUAUCCACCAUAACAUGUCCUCGUUUGCCGAAACGACCGGAAUGAAUCUGCUGAAGCAGCAGGCCAUCGACUUUGUCAACUACAACAAACGACAGAUGUCCCGUAUCUACCCCAAGGGAACCCGAGCCGAUUCAUCCAACUACAUGCCCCAGGUGUUUUGGAAUGCCGGCUGCCAGAUGGUGUCUCUCAACUUUCAAACGUCUGAUCUGCCGAUGCAGUUGAACCAGGGUAAAUUCGAAUACAACAACAACUGCGGAUAUCUACUGAAACCGGAUUUCAUGCGGCGCUCCGAUCGAAAUUUCGACCCAUUCGCCGAUGCUCCGGUCGAUGGUGUGAUCGCUGCAUCCUGCGCUGUACAAGUCAUCGCCGGUCAGUUCUUGUCGGAUAAGAAAGUCGGAACCUACGUCGAAGUCGAUAUGUACGGUCUACCCUCGGAUACUGUGAGGAAAGAAUUCCGAACCCGUCUAGUCCCGGCGAACGGUCUCAACCCGGUGUACAACGAAGAACCGUUCCUAUUCCGUAAAGUGGUCUUGCCGGAUCUAGCCGUGCUGCGAUUCGGUGUGUACGACGAAAACGGUAAACUACUCGGACAACGAAUCUUGCCCCUGGAUGGCCUGCAGGGCGGCUACCGGCAUAUCUCCCUGCGUACGGAUGCCAACUUCCCGAUGUCGCUUCCUAUGUUGUUCUGUAACAUCGAACUGAAGAUCUACGUUCCGGAUGGAUUCGAAGACUUCAUGGAUGCCCUCUCCGAUCCACGAGCUUUCAUGGGCGCUGCCAAGGAGCGGUCCGACAAUAUGAAAGCCAUGGGCAUUGAGGAAUCCAGCUCAGGAGGGGCAGCGGAUGCCGGCAAAGCUGCCAAGAAAGAUGAAUACCUGGAACCACCGAUAGUAUUCGAUCCCAUCACGGUCGAAUCGCUACGACAAGAGAAAGGCUUCCAGAAAACGGCCAAGAAGCAACAGAAGGAGCUCGAUAGCGUCAAGAAGAAGCAUUCAAAGGAACGCAUGGCUGUGCAGAAGCAGCAGAACGCUGCCAUCGAAAGACUGAUCAAGGGAAAGAGUAAGGAGGAAAUCAAGGCAGAUCCAGCUAUACGGAAAGUGAUCCAGGAACAAAAUGCCCAAUGGAGCGAGAUGAUCGAACGUCACAAGAAGGAAGAGUGGGAUCUCCUCAAGCAGCAGCUGGACGAUCAGCGGGAAAUUCUACGCAAGCUGAUGGAAACAACUCAGGCGGCGCAGAUGAAGCAACUGGAAGCGAAGCACGAGCGCGAAGUCAAGACGCUCAACAGUAACCAGGCGAAGAUCUCCGUCGAAACGUCCAAGGAGGUGGCGAACGACAAGACCCUAAAGACCAAGGGUGAGAAGGAUCGUCGGUUGCGUGAGAAGAAGCAGAACAACAUCAAGCGGUUCAUGGACGAGAAGAAGACGGCCGGCAUCAAGCAAAACCGAGAGAAGGAGAAGCUGAAGGUGACGCACGACAAGCAACUGGAAGAGCUGAACAACGACGUUCAGAAGGUACAGAACGAAUGCCGGGAGAUUGUUACGCUAGAAACGGUGGUGUAGCGCUGUGCUCGCCUCAAAAAUGCGCCUUAGUAAAUAGUGCUCUGUGAUUUACGGGAAACUGGAUCAAGCGCGCCGGAUAUGCUGCAACCGUGUUUCUAAAUUGCCAAGCUGAUCUGUGUUAUCGUACUAGUUUUCUUUUAUGUUUUGAUUUGUCUUUAGUAGAAUUGUUAGGUUUCGUUUAUCAGUAGUACCUAGGUAGUGCGCCGCCAGCCAAAGCAAAUUAUUUAUUUCUCUUUUUUUGUUUCGUGAAUAGACCCUAUUUGAUAAGUUCUCACGUGUACCUUACUCUCUAAGUUCGACUAGUUGUGUAUAUUUUGUUUUUUGUUAGUGUUUGUGUUAACAUUGAGCGGAGCUGGACCGUCUUCUUUUCGCUGCGACCAACUGAUCGAUAUGUACAAGGUCGACGAGGAGGAGUACAAGAUGUCCAGUAAGAUGGAGUUCUAUGCCUGAAUGUUAGCCAACGGUUCGCCCCAGGCUGACCCAAUAAAACAAUCCAAAUAAAAGUUACUGAAAAACCAACAGCAGAACUGAACCACUUUAAGUUUCUCGUAUUACAACAUACAAAACAAACAAACAAAUGUAUUGGAGAACAUAGUAAUAAAAAAGCAACAACAGCAACAACAACAACAGAUCACAGAUCGUAGAUCAAAACAUAAACCAGUGAAAUGUAUAUGAGUACGAAAACCCCAUAUUUUAGAGGAACUCUAUAAGACGUACUAAGCUCUACUAUCAAGAAAAAAAUGUAUCAUUUUGAGCGAAACAAGAACUAGGUGAACCAAAAAACAAAUAAACUAUUACUGUUAGUAUUAAAUGAAGCAAACAACUACACUUAUCAAAGAGUAGCAUCAUUUUAGAAAAAUGAAAUGAAAAUCAAAGUGAGAUUAGUUGUUUCUUAUUAUCGUUAUUUAUGUUAGAACAAGGAAGGGGAAAAGUGAUACCAACGAUGGAGGAACGAGGGGCAUUUUGUACUGUUGCGUUAGUAGGAACGGAAAGAGCAGGGGAGAUUUUUUAGGUUGCCAACAUGGAAAAUUUAUCUAACUAAGAAAGAGCGGGAUCAAAUGAAUUUUUACGUCUAUCAUCAACAUGUGAACGAAAUACUACACUUAAACCAACACAUACAAGUAGAAAACGGAGACUGUUCGUUAGCCAUAGCAAGUACAUUUACAGUUGAUUGCCAUAUAUUUUCCGCUAAGAGAUUUUAUGUUGACACAAAUUGCUUCUAUUACGAGCUUCUUAUUGGUGUUGACCGUUUCCGUAAGUUCUAGUAGAAAGUCAAUUAGGAAAUUAGAAAAGCAUCACACUAAAAUUGCUUUGACUUCUGUUACACAAAUUUGAACAAACAAAAACUAAGUAGAAAUAUGGCAUCGGAAGAAGCGAUUCUUUUGUCACAUUUUCUGAAAGCAAUCAAAACUGUUUUAAAUUCUGCAAACAACCAAGUAUUUUACUACCAAUACAGCAGAGAAACUGAAAGAAAAUAACAAAUAACACUGAUAACCCCACAAUAUAUGAGAAUAAACAUACUGAAGUGUAUAUCAUAAUCAUUUUUAAAAUUACUGAUUGAAAAAAAAACAUAUUAAAGAGAGUUAUAAACAAAACCAAAUUUUAAAACAAGUUAAAGAAGACGAAAGCAGACAAAAUAUUUAGAUCUUAUGGUAAGCAACAAAGAAAGGAAAAGUAUUGUAAUCGUAACCUCUUCCCUACGUCCCUCCAGAGAGCGUUCCUACCAUCUUGAAAGUCUGUCGCAUUCAUCCCCACUAACCCCAUAAUGACCCAUUCCUUCACAUCAUCAAAUCAACACAGAAGAAAAAAAAAUGUGAAAUCGAACUGCUGUUCAUAGAAGCAACCAGAAACGAUAAAUAAAAAAGAACUACAAGAAUCAUGAGUGCCUAUAAUACGAAAAUCAUCCCUUUAUACUUUUUUAUCGUAACAAAGAAAAAUGCAAAUUACACAAUCAUCUCGUCGAGUGUAAUCAAUGUCAUCCCGAUUGAAAAACUAAUUCUUUUUUUC